ensembl:ncRNA lncRNA:CR46253 long non-coding RNA:CR46253
GCAAUAAUCGCAAGAUAAUAAAUUACCUAUUUACCCGAAACAGGCGCACAAUUAACUCGCGUGAUUGCAGCGCAGAACUAUGGCGCGACUCCACCGUGUGGUUUUGCCAGAUUGCCGCGCACACCGGCCGACACAACUACUAUGGUUUCGAGUAUUUCGCGCAGCGUUAAUUUAAGACGUCCGUCUUCACGGCGAUGUAGACUUCGUCCCCUCCCGAACAUUGUAAAGUGUAAUGUGUGAUGUGUAAUGUGUAAAGUGAAUUAUGUAUUAAAUUGCAACAACUACAAACUGCGGCAAUUUGGCCACGGGCCCUAUUUGCGAGUGCAAACGGCUGGGUGCAAAAAACAAGUAAAACAAAUUAAGAAAAGUAAUCAAGCUCACAAUAACUUAAAAUAAAAAAUUAUGCGUAAAUUGCCACAACCACACACUGCGGCAAUUUGGCCACGGGAGUUACCGACCCAUUGGUACCAAACACCACCCCUCCCCCUAACCAACCACGCGCACACACAUAAAAGACGCUGCUGCGCAAUGAGUUUAGCGUAUUGUGAAGUCCUUCUUAGAAUUUGACAACCAGAAAGGGUAAGCAAGGUGGAAUGCGUUCAAUAAAGCUGCCUCGUGGGUUGUGUAACAAUCCAUACCUUAGUAGGCGUAUGAGCAACGCGCACUGCACCCAGUGCUGAAUGUUAAAGUCCCAAUUAAAUAAUAAGAUAAUGAGAGAGCACAGUGAGCACCGAGACGUGAUAUAAUGGCACCAUUGGCACACGUACAUUAGUUUCUUACCUGGGCAGUGGAAUAUAAACACACAGCACAAAUGCACGUAAGAGAAAGAAGUCACAACACAAAACAUACGAACACAGAAAGAAACAAGAAAGUCAUGGAAGCAUACCGGAUGAGUGAAACGUUGCCGGAUACUUAUUUUUGCAAAAAAAUAAAAAUAUAAUUUGUCUAUACUGGCCAUCACUUAACAAUAACUCCAUACUCUUACUGUGUACCAACCUCUGCCAAAUAAAUU